rnacentral:lncRNA from 1 species
UUUGCAAGUGAAUCUGCAGUCGUAGUAAGCUUCACUGCAUGGCAAUUCUUUGUUUCACCGCAUUACAAAUUCAUUAUUGUGGUGAAGCUUACUAAAGCACAUUCGCCAUUGUAGACCACAUUGUUUACCUUUAGUGCAGGAGCACAAUGCCGAUUCACGCCUAUGCUUCUGGUUGGACUACACAUGCUGUUUAAGAAUUGAUUCUUUGUUCAUAAGUGCACAGGUAUUUUGCUCUAAACUGGAGGGCUC